AAGCACGGCUUCGCAGCACACAGACGGGGAGCUUGCUCCCAAUGAUGAUGCGAGGAAAGUCCCCGUGCCUUGGUGCAGAGAGUGCGUGUGGGAGACCGCAGGGUCCUUGCCGAACCUCCAGUGGUGAUGCUUCUCGCGGAGCCUUGGAGUCGGGGUCGGGCCCUUCGCAGCAGCACAGACAUGCCGUGAGCGCUCAUGAUUUGAGCACCAACAGAACGGGGCUCGCUCUCC
rnacentral:RNase_MRP_RNA from 14 species